rnacentral:rRNA from 1 species
AACGAACGCUGGCGGCAUGCCUAACACAUGCAAGUCGAACGAGACCUUCGGGUCUAGUGGCGCACGGGUGCGUAACGCGUGGGAACCUGCCCUUAGGUUCGGAAUAACUCCCCGAAAGGGGUGCUAAUACCGGAUAAUGUCUUCGGACCAAAGAUUUAUCGCCUUUGGAUGGGCCCGCGUUGGAUUAGCUAGUUGGUAGGGUAAAAGCCUACCAAGGCGACGAUCCAUAGCUGGUCGGAGAGGAUGAUCAGCCACACUGGGACUGAGACACGGCCCAGACUCCUACGGGAGGGAGCAGUGGGGAAUAUUGGAGAAUGGGCGAAAGCCUGAUCCAGCAAUGCCGCGUGAGUGAUGAAGGCGUUAGGGUUGUAAAGCUGUUUUACCCGGGAUGAUAAUGACAGUACCGGGAGAAUAAGCACCGGCUAACUCCGUG